AUUGAACGCUGGCGGCAUGCCUUACACAUGCAAGUCGAACGGCAGCACGGGGCAACCUGGUGGCGAGUGGCGAACGGGUGAGUAAUGCAUCGGAACGUACCUUUCAGUGGGGGAUAACGUAGCGAAAGUUACGCUAAUACCGCAUAUUCUGUGCGCAGGAAAGCAGGGGAUCGCAAGACCUUGCGCUGAUUGAGCGGCCGAUGUCAGAUUAGCUAGUUGGUGAGGUAAAGGCUCACGAAGGCGACGAUCUGUAGCGGGUCUGAGAGGAUGAUCCGCCACGCGGUAACUGAGACACGGUCCAGACUCCUACGGGAGGCAGCAGUAGGGAAUUUUGGUCAAUGGGUGCAAGCCUGAUCCAGCCAUGCCGCGUGAGUGAAGAAGGCCUUCGGGUUGUAAAGCUCUUUCGGCCGGGAAGAAAUCGUAUGGGCUAAUACCCUGUGCAGAUGACGGUACCGGCAUAAGAAGCACCGGCUAACUACGUGCCAGCCGCCGCCGUAAUAC
rnacentral:rRNA from 1 species